GGAGGGGUUGGUUAGCACAAGAGGAGGGUGCUAGUAUAUUAAUGGCUCUUAGUUGCUAAGGGAAAGCCGGUACUCUGUCUGCCUUGGAGCAGGUUACUGGCUUCACCUCGAUCCACAUGGUAAACUUUCGAUCACCAUGAGUACUCGGUUGAACCCUCUAGGUGCCAUAGGAAGUGGGCGAAUAUUGUCUAGCCCCCAGCAUGCGAAGGGCUAAGAGGGUUGUAUGGUGAUCAGCUUGUAG
rnacentral:lncRNA from 1 species